rnacentral:misc_RNA from 1 species
GGAGGUUCGAUCCUGGCUCAGAUUGAACGCUGGCGGGAUCGCACAUGCAAGUCGAACGGCAGCACGGACUUCGGUCUGGUGGCGAGUAGCGAACAGGUGGUAAUGUAUCGGAACGUGCCAGUGGCAGGGGAUAUUACGCGAAAGCGUGGCCCACCGCAUACGCCCUUCGGGGAAAGCGGGGGACCUUCGGGCCUCACUAUUAGAGCGACCGAUAUCCAGUUAGCUGGUUGGUGAGUAACGGCUCACCAAGGCGACGAUCCGUAGCUGGUUUGAGAGGACGACCAGCCACACUGGGACUGAGACACGGCCCAGACUCCUACG